AUGACCUCCUCCUCCGCCGCCUCCUCCUCCCACCUCCAUAUUACCAUCACCAACGCCUCCUCCACCAUCACCACCAACACCAACGCCACCAAAUCGCAGUCGCAGUCGCAGCACCACCACUCCAGCAGCGUCUCCCCCCGCAGCGGUGGCUCCGGCGGUGGGGGUGGGGGUGGCACGACCAACCAGGCCUGCGCGGCGUGCAAGUACCAGCGGCGCAAGUGCAACCCCGACUGCCCCCUCGCGCCCUACUUCCCCGCCGACCAGCAGCGCCGGUUCCUCAACGCGCACCGCCUCUUCGGCGUCAGCAACAUCCUCAAGACGCUGCGCCGCCUCAAGCCGGAGCUCUGCGACGCGGCCAUGCAGACGCUCAUUUACCAGGCGGAGAUGCGCGCCAUGGACCCCGUCGGAGGCUGCUGCAGCAUGAUCAUCGACCUCGAGCACACCAGCGAGCUUCUGUCGGCCGAGCUCGCCGCCCUGCAACAGCACCUCGACAUGUGCCGCCAGGCCGCAUCUGGCGUGGCCGGCGGGGACGUCAUGGACGGCCCGUGCGCUGACCUCGAGGUCACCUCCUCGAACCACCAGCAGGAGCAGCUGCUCCUCCACGCCGACCAAGAUCAGGUCGUCGACGCGCUCUACGUCGCCCAAGAAGGCGCCGACCCCGUGAUGCAAAAUGGCGCCGAUCACGACGACAGCCGGCAACCGCAAUAUCACGGUGGACAGCAGCAGCAACAACAACAGCAGCUGUACGACUAUUUCUACUACGAGGCAACCGGCGCCGGCAGCGAUGAAGCCGGGAGAAAGCCCAGUGGCAGCGGCGUCGACAUUAACGUCGACGUCAUGCAGCAUUUCGAUUACGACUCCAGCUGUGAUCGGACUGGAGCCGAUGAUCAACUGGAGCCGAUGAUCUCGUCGAGCCUCGAAGAGCACUACCAGAUCGGACAGAAGGAGUACGAGAUGAAGGUGGCGUCAUUCGUCGAUGUGUUGGACGUCAGGCCGGAGCUGCAGGCGGUGGACGGGAACGCCGACAUCGGCAUCAAGGAGGAGCUUCAGGAGGAGGAUCCCAAGAAUAACGAUGACGACAUCGCACUACGCAAAGCAGCACACAUGGCUGAGUCGUCACAUUGCAGGCUAGGGUUAGGCUUUUAA
rnacentral:rRNA from 1 species